AUUGAACGCUGGCGGCAGGCCUAACACAUGCAAGUCGAACGAGUGGCGGACGGGUGAGUAAUGUAUGGGGAACUGCCCGAUGGAGGGGGGUAACUACUGGAAACGGUGGCUAAUACCGCAUAAUGUCGGAUGUGCCCAUAUGGGAUUAGCUAGUAGGUGGGGUAACGGCGUACCUAGGCGACGAUCCCUAGCUGGCUUGAGAGGAUGACCAGCCACACUGGAACUGAGACACGGUCCAGACUCCUACGGGAGGCAGCAGUGGGGAAUAUUGCACAAUGGGCGCAAGCCUGAUGCAGCCAUGCCGCGUGGAUGAAGAAGGCCUUAGGGUUGUAAAGUACUUUCAGCGAGGAGGCGUUACGCGCAGAAGAAGCACCGGCUAACUCCGUGCCAGCAGCCGCGGUAAUAC
rnacentral:rRNA from 1 species